UACAGAGGUCCCGAGCGUUGUUCGGAUUCACUGGGCGUAAAGGGUGCGUAGGUGGCUGGGAUAGUCUGAUGUGAAAUCUCCGAGCUCAACUUGGAAACUGCAUUGGAUACUUCCCGGCUAGAGGGUCGGAGGGGGGACUGGAAUUCUCGGUGUAGCAGUGAAAUGCGUAGAUAUCGAGAGGAACACCAGUGGCGAAGGCGAGUCCCUGGACGACUCCUGACACUGAGGCACGAAGGCUAGGGGAGCAAACAGG
rnacentral:misc_RNA from 1 species